rnacentral:rRNA from 1 species
AGGUUGAACGCUGGCGGCAGGCCUAACACAUGCAAGUCGAGCGGUAGAGAGGUGCUUGCACCUCUUGAGAGCGGCGGACGGGUGAGUAAUGCCUAGGAAUCUGCCUAGUGGUGGGGGAUAACGUUCGGAAACGGACGCUAAUACCGCAUACGUCCUACGGGAGAAAGCGGGGACCUUCGGGCCUCGCGCCAUUAGAUGAGCCUAGGUCGGAUUAGCUAGUUGGUGAGGUAAUGGCUCACCAAGGCGACGAU